rnacentral:rRNA from 1 species
AACGGUGGCCAUACCGGCUUAUCAAAGCCUGAUUUCGUAUUACCUCAGAAGCAAAGCCAGGCCGGGUCUGGUCAGUACUUGGAUGGGAGACUGCUGUGAUACCAGGGGCCUCAGUGG